rnacentral:rRNA from 1 species
AAUAGAUACCCGGGUAGUCCACGCCGUAAACGAUGAGUGCUAAGUGUUAGGGGGUUUCCGCCCCUUAGUGCUGCAGCUAACGCAUUAAGCACUCCGCCUGGGGAGUACGGCCGCAAGGCUGAAACUCAAAGGAAUUGACGGGGGGCCCGCACAAGCGGUGGAGCAUGUGGUUUAAUUCGAAGCAACGCGAAGAACCUUACCAGGUCUUGACAUCCUCUGACAACCCUAGAGAUAGGGCGUUCCCCUUCGGGGGACAGAGUGACAGGUGGUGCAUGGUUGUCGUCAGCUCGUGUCGUGAGAUGUUGGGUUAAGUCCCGCAACGAGCGCAACCCUUGAUCUUAGUUGCCAGCAUUUUAGUUGGGCACUCUAAGGUGACUGCCGGUGACAAACCGGAGGAAGGUGGGGAUGACGUCAAAUCAUCAUGCCCCUUAUGACCUGGGCUACACACGUGCUACAAUGGAUGGUACAAAGGGCUGCCAAACCGCGAGGUUGAGCGAAUCCCAUAAAACCAUUCUCAGUUCGGAUUGCAGGCUGCAACUCCG